rnacentral:tRNA from 1 species
UCCCACGUGGUCUAGUGGCUAGGAUAUAUGGCUUUCAGCCAGAAGGCCCGGGUUCGUUUCCCGGCGUGGGAA